rnacentral:rRNA from 1 species
AUUGAACGCUAGCGGCAUGCCUUACACAUGCAAGUCGAACGGAGUGGCGAACGGGUGAGUAAUGUAUAGGAACGUGCCCAUUCGCGGUGGAUAACUACGCGAAAGCGUAGCUAAUACCGCAUACUCUUGGAGCGGCCGAUAUCGGAUUAGCUAGUUGGUGGGGUAACGGCUGACAAAGGCGACGAUCCGUAGCUGGUUUGAGAGGACGACCAGCCACACUGGGACUGAGACACGGCCCAGACUCCGACGGGAGGCAGCAGUGGGGAAUAUUGGACAAUGGGGGAAAGCCUGAUCCAGCCAUGCCGCGUGUGCGAUGAAGGCCUUCGGGUUGUAAAGCACUUUUGGCAGGAAAGCGGUACCUGCAGAAUAAGCACCGGCUAACUACGUGCCAGCCGCCGCGGUAAUUC